rnacentral:rRNA from 1 species
UACGGAGGGUGCGAGCGUUGUCCGGAAUCACUGGGCGUAAAGGGUGCGUAGGCGGGUUUUUAAGUCAGGGGUGAAAUCCUGGAGCUCAACUCCAGAACUGCCUUUGAUACUGAAGAUCUUGAGUCCGGGAGAGGUGAGUGGAACUGCGAGUGUAGAGGUGAAAUGCGUUGAUAUUGGAAGGAACGCCGGAGGCGAAAGCGGCGCACUGGACCUCUUCUGACGCUGAGGCGCGAAAGCUAGGGGAGCAAACGGG